rnacentral:rRNA from 1 species
GACGAACGCUGGCGGCGUGCCUAACACAUGCAAGUUGAGCGACUAACCAGGGCUUGCCCUGGGGCAAAGCAGCGAACGGGUGAGUAACACGUGGGUAACCUGCCGAGAUGACCGGGACAACCCGAGGAAACUCGGGCUAAUACCGGAUGCGUUUCACACACAUCAGUGUGUGAAGGCAAGGAAGCUUCGGCCUCCGCAUCUCGAGGGGCCCGCGGCCCAUUAGCUUGUUGGGGAGGUCACGGCUCACCAAGGCAACGAUGGGUAGCUGGUCUGAGAGGACGAUCAGCCACACUGGGACGGGGACACGGCCCAGACUCCUACGGGAGGCAGCAGGGGGGAAACUGGCGGAAUGGGGGAAAGCGUGACGCAGCAACGCCGCGGGAGGGAAGACGGCCUUCGGGUUGUAAACCUCUUUCAGAAGGGACGAAGGGUCGGCCGCGAAUAGCGAGCCGGCUUGACGGUACCUUCAGAAGAAGCCCCGGCUACUACGUGCCAGCCGCCGCCGUAA